ACUAAGCGUACACGGUGGAUGCCCUGGCAGUCAGAGGCGAUGAAGGACGUGCUAAUCUGCGAUAAGCGUCGGUAAGGUGAUAUGAACCGUUAUAACCGGCGAUUUCCGAAUGGGGAAACCCAGUGUGAUUCGUCACACUAUCAUUAACUGAAUCCAUAGGUUAAUGAGGCGAACCGGGGGAACUGAAACAUCUAAGUACCCCGAGGAAAAGAAAUCAACCGAGAUUCCCCCAGUAGCGGCGAGCGAACGGGGAGCAGCCCAGAGCCUGAAUCAGUGUGUGUGUUAGUGGAAGCGUCUGGAAAGGCGCGCGAUACAGGGUGACAGCCCCGUACACAAAAAUGCACAUAUUGUGAGCUCGAUGAGUAGGGCGGGACACGUGGUAUCCUGUCUGAAUAUGGGGGGACCAUCCUCCAAGGCUAAAUACUCCUGACUGACCGAUAGUGAACCAGUACCGUGAGGGAAAGGCGAAAAGAACCCCGGCGAGGGGAGUGAAAAAGAACCUGAAACCGUGUACGUACAAGCAGUGGGAGCACGCUUAGGCGUGUGACUGCGUACCUUUUGUAUAAUGGGUCAGCGACUUAUAUUCUGUAGCAAGGUUAACCGAAUAGGGGAGCCGAAGGGAAACCGAGUCUUAACUGGGCGUUAAGUUGCAGGGUAUAGACCCGAAACCCGGUGAUCUAGCCAUGGGCAGGUUGAAGGUUGGGUAACACUAACUGGAGGACCGAACCGACUAAUGUUGAAAAAUUAGCGGAUGACUUGUGGCUGGGGGUGAAAGGCCAAUCAAACCGGGAGAUAGCUGGUUCUCCCCGAAAGCUAUUUAGGUAGCGCCUCGUGAAUUCAUCUCCGGGGGUAGAGCACUGUUUCGGCAAGGGGGUCAUCCCGACUUACCAACCCGAUGCAAACUGCGAAUACCGGAGAAUGUUAUCACGGGAGACACACGGCGGGUGCUAACGUCCGUCGUGAAGAGGGAAACAACCCAGACCGCCAGCUAAGGUCCCAAAGUCAUGGUUAAGUGGGAAACGAUGUGGGAAGGCCCAGACAGCCAGGAUGUUGGCUUAGAAGCAGCCAUCAUUUAAAGAAAGCGUAAUAGCUCACUGGUCGAGUCGGCCUGCGCGGAAGAUGUAACGGGGCUAAACCAUGCACCGAAGCUGCGGCAGCGACGCUUAUGCGUUGUUGGGUAGGGGAGCGUUCUGUAAGCCUGUGAAGGUGUGCUGUGAGGCAUGCUGGAGGUAUCAGAAGUGCGAAUGCUGACAUAAGUAACGAUAAAGCGGGUGAAAAGCCCGCUCGCCGGAAGACCAAGGGUUCCUGUCCAACGUUAAUCGGGGCAGGGUGAGUCGACCCCUAAGGCGAGGCCGAAAGGCGUAGUCGAUGGGAAACAGGUUAAUAUUCCUGUACUUGGUGUUACUGCGAAGGGGGGACGGAGAAGGCUAUGUUGGCCGGGCGACGGUUGUCCCGGUUUAAGCGUGUAGGCUGGUUUUCCAGGCAAAUCCGGAAAAUCAAGGCUGAGGCGUGAUGACGAGGCACUACGGUGCUGAAGCAACAAAUGCCCUGCUUCCAGGAAAAGCCUCUAAGCAUCAGGUAACAUCAAAUCGUACCCCAAACCGACACAGGUGGUCAGGUAGAGAAUACCAAGGCGCUUGAGAGAACUCGGGUGAAGGAACUAGGCAAAAUGGUGCCGUAACUUCGGGAGAAGGCACGCUGAUAUGUAGGUGAAGCGACUUGCUCGUGGAGCUGAAAUCAGUCGAAGAUACCAGCUGGCUGCAACUGUUUAUUAAAAACACAGCACUGUGCAAACACGAAAGUGGACGUAUACGGUGUGACGCCUGCCCGGUGCCGGAAGGUUAAUUGAUGGGGUUAGCGGUAACGCGAAGCUCUUGAUCGAAGCCCCGGUAAACGGCGGCCGUAACUAUAACGGUCCUAAGGUAGCGAAAUUCCUUGUCGGGUAAGUUCCGACCUGCACGAAUGGCGUAAUGAUGGCCAGGCUGUCUCCACCCGAGACUCAGUGAAAUUGAACUCGCUGUGAAGAUGCAGUGUACCCGCGGCAAGACGGAAAGACCCCGUGAACCUUUACUAUAGCUUGACACUGAACAUUGAGCCUUGAUGUGUAGGAUAGGUGGGAGGCUUUGAAGUGUGGACGCCAGUCUGCAUGGAGCCGACCUUGAAAUACCACCCUUUAAUGUUUGAUGUUCUAACGUUGACCCGUAAUCCGGGUUGCGGACAGUGUCUGGUGGGUAGUUUGACUGGGGCGGUCUCCUCCUAAAGAGUAACGGAGGAGCACGAAGGUUGGCUAAUCCUGGUCGGACAUCAGGAGGUUAGUGCAAUGGCAUAAGCCAGCUUGACUGCGAGCGUGACGGCGCGAGCAGGUGCGAAAGCAGGUCAUAGUGAUCCGGUGGUUCUGAAUGGAAGGGCCAUCGCUCAACGGAUAAAAGGUACUCCGGGGAUAACAGGCUGAUACCGCCCAAGAGUUCAUAUCGACGGCGGUGUUUGGCACCUCGAUGUCGGCUCAUCACAUCCUGGGGCUGAAGUAGGUCCCAAGGGUAUGGCUGUUCGCCAUUUAAAGUGGUACGCGAGCUGGGUUUAGAACGUCGUGAGACAGUUCGGUCCCUAUCUGCCGUGGGCGCUGGAGAACUGAGGGGGGCUGCUCCUAGUACGAGAGGACCGGAGUGGACGCAUCACUGGUGUUCGGGUUGUCAUGCCAAUGGCACUGCCCGGUAGCUAAAUGCGGAAGAGAUAAGUGCUGAAAGCAUCUAAGCACGAAACUUGCCCCGAGAUGAGUUCUCCCUGACUCCUUGAGAGUCCUGAAGGAACGUUGAAGACGACGACGUUGAUAGGCCGGGUGUGUAAGCGCAGCGAUGCGUUGAGCUAACCGGUACUAAUGAACCGUGAGGCUUAACC
rnacentral:rRNA from 1 species